rnacentral:tRNA from 1 species
GGGCGAUUAGCUCAGCUGGUUAGAGCGCUGUCUCCACACGGCAGAGGUCACUGGUUCGGCUCCAGUAUCGCCCA